UGGGGAAUAUUGCACAAUGGGGGAAACCCUGAUGCAGCAACGCCGCGUGAGUGAUGACGGUCUUCGGAUUGUAAAGCUCUGUCUUUGGGAACGAUAAUGACGGUACCCAAGGAGGAAGCCACGGCUAACUACGUGCCAGCAGCCGCGGUAAUACGUAGGUGGCGAGCGUUAUCCGGAAUUAUUGGGCGUAAAGGGAGCGUAGGCGGAUAAUUAAGUGGGAUGUGAAAUACUCAGGCUCAACCUGGGGGCUGCAUUCCAAACUGAUUAUCUAGAGUGCAGGAGAGGAGAGUGGAAUUCCUAGUGUAGCGGUGAAAUGCGUAGAGAUUAGGAAGAACUUCCAGUGGCGAAGGCGACUCUCUGGACUGUAACUGACGCUGAGGCUCGAAAGCGUGGGGAGCUUUUCUUG
rnacentral:rRNA from 1 species